ACAUGUUCAGUUCAUGUUUAUGUUUAUAUGACUCAUGUUCAACCCUGAAAAUGUGUGAUAUUUCGUAAUUUAUAAAUAAGUUCAUUCCGCACCUUUUCGUCGGCGUGGGACUAAUUUUGGUUUCUCUUUUCCUGCUUUGUAAAAACGUAAAAGAAUAAUUCAGCAGUAGGAAGCUACUGAUAAAAGCAAUUAACCUUCAAUUCAUAUUACUCAAAGGGCUUUUUAUUUGUCUUCGCUGCUUUGCAAUGAUUGAGAUUAGAUUCAUGCCAAAUUCGUUUUACUGAUGAUGUUCAACUUUGCGAUUUGGGGUUUGCUUCGUUGACCUGGGUUUUCUUCAUAGAUCUCAGGAUUUGAUGAAAAAACUUGGAUGAACCUACUGCUGGGAGCGUAGAUAGGAUAGAUGAACCUCCUGCUGCGAGCGUACAUGGGAUAGGUUGUUUGGUGCAAGACAUUGUAGUUAUGAGUGAUGGUGGUGACGUUGAUGCUCAGAUAAACGUGAUGUUACGGUUUCUAAGCGUCCCAUCGAUGGUGAUAAGGUCGCAAAAGAUGGUUCAUCCAAAGCACUCGAGUUGAUUAAGCGUAUUAAGACCGAGAAGCCUUGAUUUUUUAAUCAUAUUCAGAUUCGAACUUUAUGUCUUUGUCCAUUUGAUGUUGGACCGUCUUUAGUUGUAAAAAGGUAUACACCUUUAUUUUAAUUUAUAGGUAUAUCUUCCUUUAUUUUGUGUACAAACAUUCGAUGUGGGGCAUUUAGCAAUGUUUGAUGAUGUUGCAAUGUUAGUAGUAUUAGUUUUACUCUCUUUCCCAUUACCUUUGAUUUCUAACUUCCUCAAUUAACUGUGAUCUCGGAGCACAACACACGGUUAUCCAGAACAGUCAGGGUCGGAGAUUGAUCCUCGUAUGCUGAAGAAAAGAGCGGAGGAAUCUGAGUAGGGAAAGUUCCAUGAUACGGAUUGAGUUUUGCAAUGUGUAAUACCGAGUGAAUCCAAGCAUCCGACGGGGCCAAGGGUGCGCAUGACCUGCUAAAAGUAUUAAAGUAUGAUUCCUUUCUCUUGCUUAAGAAAAUAUCGUUAGACUUUAUUCCAGCAAGAUGAUAUGAGGUAGAUUAUGCUCAGAAGAGUAUUAAUUUUGAGAGCAUUAUUUAGCUACUACAGUUCUCGGUAUCAUAUGAUACGAUUCAAAAAGGUGAUAUAUCAUGUAUGAGGUUUCAACAUAUGCCCUUCCUCCAGAUGAUCCAAAUCAUUUUAUGCAACAUUUUUGUUGUAUUAUAUGGCUUCAGUUUAGAUCCUUACUGCGAAAAAGCAACACAAUGGUGAUACACAUUGCUGAGAUAUACCUCAGUGAAACGAAACCUCGGAAAAAUCAAAAGCUCAAUCAGCACGAACAUGACCAAACAAUGGAGAAGCAGAUGAAAUCUCAGCAAGAUCACUUUGAAUGCAGAAUGAAUUGAGAAAAUACUCAUGAUAUUGCAAACCCUUUGGUUAGAGUACGAAACCUACUCGUUUUGCUUUCAAAAUCAAAAUAAAUAUUACUGACAUGAACAAUAAGCAAAGAACUCAUUGUUGUGGUUGAUGGUGGGUUUUACAAGUGAUUGCAUUUUUAAAUAAAUGUCUUGUAAAAAAGCCCAACAUGAUGCACCACAAUGACUAUUUAUAAUUAAACCAACUUAAUUUUUUUUUUUAA